GCGCAGGAAAAGAAACCAACAGGGAUUGCCCUAGUAACGGCGAGUGAAGCGGCAACAGCUCAAAUUUGAAAUCUGGCUCUCGGGCCCGAGUUGUAAUUUGUAGAGGAUGCUUUUGAUGCGGUGCCUUCCGAGUUCCCUGGAACGGGACGCCAUAGAGGGUGAGAGCCCCGUCUGGUUGGAUGCCAAAUCUCUGUAAAGCUCCUUCGACGAGUCGAGUAGUUUGGGAAUGCUGCUCUAAAUGGGAGGUAUAUGUCUUCUAAAGCUAAAUACCGGCCAGAGACCGAUAGCGCACAAGUAGAGUGAUCGAAAGAUGAAAAGCACUUUGAAAAGAGAGUUAAAAAGUACGUGAAAUUGUUGAAAGGGAAGCGUUUAUGACCAGACUUGGGCUUGGUUAAUCAUCUGGGGUUCUCCCCAGUGCACUUUUCCAGUCCAGGCCAGCAUCAGUUUUCGCCGGGGGAUAAAGGCUUCGGGAAUGUGGCUCUCUCCGGGGAGUGUUAUAGCCCGUUGCGUAAUACCCUGGCGGGGACUGAGGUUCGCGCAUCUGCAAGGAUGCUGGCGUAAUGGUCAUCAACGACCCGUCUUGAAACACGGACCAAGGAGUCGUCUUCGUAUGCGAGUGUUCGGGUGUCAAACCCCUACGCGUAAUGAAAGUGAACGCAGGUGAGAGCUUCGGCGCAUCAUCGACCGAUCCUGAUGUUCUCGGAUGGAUUUGA
rnacentral:rRNA from 1 species